AUUAAUUGUUGUAUUCUGCAUUCAGGAUUCUGUAGAAAACCACAGAGCUCCUUCACUCCAGAAUCUUUCAGGUUGUUUCCUCUCAGGUCCAGUUGAGUCAGAUGGGAGGGAUUGGACUUAAGAGCUGAGACCAGAGAAGAACAGCUGAUCUCUGACAACCAGCUGUUCAUCAAUCUGAAUAAAGAAAAAAAGAUGUGAGCUGAAGCCAACAGGAUGCAGGUUAAAACUGAAAUAUGAACAAAUUAAUAAUAAAAAUGUAGA